rnacentral:rRNA from 1 species
UACGUAGGGGGCUAGCGUUGUCCGGAAUCAUUGGGCGUAAAGCGCGUGUAGGCGGUCCGGUAAGUCCGCUGUGAAAGUCGGGGGCUCAACCCUCGGAUGCCGGUGGAUACUGCCGGGCUAGAGUCCGGAGGAGGCGAGUGGAAUUCCUGGUGUAGCGGUGGAAUGCGCAGAUAUCAGGAGGAACACCAACGGCGAAGGCAGCUCGCUGGGACGGUACUGACGCUGAGGCGCGAAAGCGUGGGGAGCGAACAGG